rnacentral:rRNA from 1 species
UACGAAGGGUGCAAGCGUUAAUCGGAAUUACUGGGCGUAAAGCGCGCGUAGGUGGUUCGUUAAGUUAGGAGUGAAAGCCCCGGGCUCAACCUGGGAAUUGCUUCUAAAACUGGCGAGCUAGAGUAUGGUAGAGGGUGGUGGAAUUUCCUGUGUAGCGGUGAAAUGCGUAGAUAUAGGAAGGAGCAUCAGUGGCGAAGGCGACCACCUGGACUGAUACUGACACUGAGGUGCGAAAGCGUGGGGAGCAAACAGGAUUAGAUACCCGUGUAGU